GACGAACGCUGGCGGCGUGCCUAAUACAUGCAAGUCGAGCGGAUCUUCAUUAGCUUGCUUUUGAAGAUCAGCGGCGGACGGGUGAGUAACACGUGGGCAACCUGCCUGUAAGACUGGGAUAACUUCGGGAAACCGGAGCUAAUACCGGAUAAUCCUUUUCCUCUCAUGAGGAAAAGCUGAAAGACGGUUUCGGCUGUCACUUACAGAUGGGCCCGCGGCGCAUUAGCUAGUUGGUGAGGUAACGGCUCACCAAGGCGGCGAUGCGUAGCCGACCGGAGAGGGUGGUCGGCCACACUGGGACUGAGACACGGCCCAGACUCCUACGGGAGGCAGCAGUAGGGAAUCUUCCGCAAUGGACGAAAGUCUGACGGAGCGACGCCGCGUGAGCGAUGAAGGCCUUCGGGUCGUAAAGCUCUGUUGUCAGGGAAGAACAAGUACCGGAGUAACUGCCGGUACCUUGACGGUACCUGACCAGAAAGCCACGGCUAACUACGUGCCAGCCGCCGCCGUAACAC
rnacentral:rRNA from 1 species